UAACCUGUUGGAACCAUUUUCAACCAAUCAUUACCCCCUGACCUGUAUCCACCAUCACUGAUUGGCUAUUGUCACCUGCAGGGCGUUGACAUCGGAGAACUUGUGGACGCUGGAAUUAUGCUAGUUUUAGUGGCAACUUUGUGAAACUGCAGCGAUAGACCUAGAGUUAAAAUGCUGAAGUGGGUAAAAAUAUAAGACUGCUUUCGGAAUUUAGCACUUGGUGCUAUCAAACUGUGCAACCUUUCUGCAGCUAAUGCGCCAAUUGAAAGAGCUUCUUCUGUAGUUACUCUGUUUAAAGAUGGCCCCAGAAACCGCGUUGGCCUGCCGCUCCUGUCAAGUUCGAUGGAUAUGCGUUCAGGACCAACACGGAAUAGACGGACAUCAGCAACAUUGCGUCCUCUUUGACAGUUAUUGGAGAAAUUUGACUCAACCAUGUGCUGAUCACUGAUCACAAGGGGAAGUUUUAGUUCAGGAGAGGACUAAAGUUGUUCUUUCCAGCCUACAGUCUACUCAGCAUCAAGCUGUGGUAUCUUCCAGGAAAAAGAGCGAGGGUUGCUGUGCGAUGACGGCUAUGGUGCUUUUGUGGGUUUUUGUGUUCAGCUGUGCCCUGACGGAGACCGACUCUACCACCUGCUUUCAGUUUCUCACGUAACACAGCAAUAUAACUUGGUCCUUGAAAGCAAAUAUUUGAUUAAUAAGUAUAACAGACGUCCAUUAAAAACACAAGUCAUGGAUUUGUUGAAGGAGACGCAUGGCUGUUUUUACAAGUUGAUA